CUGAAAGGCUUUGUGAAUAACUUUUAAGAGAAAACUCCUAGCUAAAAUAUUUUAGUGCGAUUUAGGAGUACUCCUAGUGGUAAGAUAAAAGGCUUUGUGAAUACGGCCCCAGAGGUCUAUGAUGGUCGGACGUGACAAACUUGUGUGCAGAAGACUCCAGAAAACGCAGUCUAGAUUUGGCGCCCAGUGAAACCAAGUGAAACGAUGUGUGGGUAUGAAGGAUUGUGCCACCACGAAAACUCAGAGAAGCUCAAUGCCACUGAAAAGAGGCCGGCAGCUUCUUAAAAAAGACUGCGCUAGACCAUCUGAUCAAAUUGCUGAACAAACAGCGUACCAAAAUGCCUACGUUAUGCACUGUGGAACGCUCUGCCGAUGAACAGCUGUGGAAUCCGCAAAGGUCAAGAAGGCUUUUGUUACGAGGGCUGGAGGUUCCAAAACAUCCAUGAAGCUGGGGAUAAAAGACGCAGAUUGACCAGCCCACGCUUUCAUCCACCAUUGUACACAGUAUGGCAC